rnacentral:rRNA from 1 species
UACGUAGGGGGGCAAGCGUUGUCCCGGAUUUAUUGGGCGUAAAGAGCGUGUAGGCGGCCUGAAAGGUCAGCUGUGAAAACUCGAGGCUCAACCUCGAGACGUCGGUUGAAACCAUCUGGCUAGAGUCCGGAAGAGGAGUGUGGAAUUCCCCGGUGUAGCGGUGAAAUGCGCAGAUAUCGGGAGGAACACCUGUGGCGAAAGCGGCUCACUGGACCAUAACUGACGCUGAUGCACGAAAGCUGGGGGAGCAAACAGG